GUCAAAGAGGCAUCAUUAACAAGGGCUGGGGUGGUCUUGGGAAUUUGCCAGAACCAAAGAAUUCUGUGUAUUUACUGGACAAUUGCCCUCAUGACUGGUUGUUCCCAAGAUGCAAGGCUGUGGUGCAUCAUGGUGGUGCUGGAACAACUGCUGCUGGUCUUAAAGCUGGGUGUCCUACAACCAUUGUUCCUUUCUUUGGGGACCAGCCUUUCUGGGGAGAGCGGGUUCAUGCCAGAGGAGUAGGUCCUGCACCGAUCCUGGUGGAUGAGUUUUCACUUGCAAAGUUGGUUGAUGCAAUACAAUUCAUGCUAGAUCCCAAGGUAAAAGAGCGUGCUAUGGAGUUGGCCAAGGCCAUGGAGAAGGAAGAUGGGGUACAAGGUGCAGUAAAUGCCUUCUAUAAACAUUUUCCUCGCUACAAGUUGGAACCCGAACCUGAGUCUAAGACUGCACACUCAAAGUUUCGUUCCAUACGAAGUUGUUUUGCUUGCC
rnacentral:misc_RNA from 1 species